GCGUUUCAUUUGCUUCUCUUCAAUGGAAGUUUCAUUUUCCCAGAAUGUAUCCUAAUUUUUGGCCUAAUUCUUCUUCUGAUGAUCGAUUCAACCUCUGAUCAAAAAGAUAAACCUUGGUUCUAUUUCAUCUCUUCAACAAGUUUAGUAAUAAGCAUAACGGCCCUAUUGUUCCGACGGAGAGAAGAACCUAUAAUUAGCUUUUCGGGAAAUUUCCAAACGAACAAUUUCAACGAAAUCUUUCAAUUCCAACAUCGUUUGUCCCUGUCUGGCGCCCUUGGUGGGCCUAUGCGCGCGUGCAAAAUCAGCUUCAUGUCCGACCGCACUAAAGUCGUUAAAAUUCCUGUCUUUGUUAGGCUGAGGCGCUGGAAAAAAUUCCGUCAAAUUCCUCAGGCUUUGGUCCUGCAUGUUUAUUUUUUUGAGGGUCUGGGCCUUGCACACGCAAGUUGGUACGUCAUGCCCAAAAAAUUAUACGUAUAA
rnacentral:rRNA from 1 species